rnacentral:rRNA from 2 species
UCCGGUAACUAUACUGGAGGGGAAACACCCGUUCCCAUUCCGAAUACGGCAGUUAAGCCCUCCGAGGUCGAUGGUACUAUGGUCGCAAGGCUAUGGGAGAGUAGAACGUUACCGGAU